CCGAAGCAGAUGUACACCUCGGAGUUUUUGCUUCGGCGCAAGGAGGCUCGAUAACCCAACGGAAGCAGAAGGGAGUCACGUACGAUCCCUCGUCUCCGAUCCUCCGAAUUAGAUGUCGUCUUAUCUCGCUUCGAUUUCCGUAUCAUGUUACAUCAGCAUGGAUGUCUUGGCUUUUGUCCCUCUGAAGGGAAGUAAAGGCAUCCAAUUGGAUGCAGUCUAAGCGAAACCCAUAUGAACAGUUAAACCUUUAUCCCAUUCUGGACCUGUUUGUUGAUUUCAUGAUCUUUUAUGACCUUGAUUCAGAUAGACAAGUCUUCCCCAAUAACAUAUGGCAAGGCACGGAAAAGUAUCAGUUUCAGCAUUGCUAUGUGACAAUCAAUGAGCACCACACUGCUGGGAUGAUGCUAUUUUUAGUCGAUCAUUUACAAGAUUUAUCAGAAACAGGAAUGCGUCUGCAAGCAAAGUCUCCAGAUCCUCCUAUUAGACAAGGUCUUGCUGCAGCAGGGCCGACACCUGAUGAUACAAAGCCAAAGAAGAAGAUCUGCUGUGCCUGCCCAGACACAAAGAAGCUGAGAGACGAAUGCAUUGUGGAGCAUGGAGAGGCUGCAUGCCAAAAAUGGAUCCAAGCUCAUCUACAAUGCCUUCGUGCAGAGGGUUUCAAGGUCUGAUGCUUCAUAAGAGGAAGUCUGAAGUUGGAAGGCAUUAACAUCAUGAUUUGUGUCAUGGAUACUUGAUACUGAAGUUGACCUGAUCAAUACAGGAAGUUUUCUCCGAGAUAGAAGCGUCCAGAUAAUUAUAACUGGCGUCACCUUAGAAGGUGUUUUGCUACUCUUGCUGUCUUACAGGUUCCUUUUAGGAUUAAUGGAAUUAGAAAUACAAACUCAAUUUGAUCAGAACCUCUUCUUGCUAUAUGACACAUCUCCUUGCUGGAGUUUCUAAAGCUCACCCAAAGACGAAGCAAUAUUGUUUGGUUAUAAGUUGCUUGCUAAGCAGUUGUGUAAUCAUAAAUCCUUCUAUGAAAAACCGUGUGUAGGUUGUAUAUAUCAGAUCUCUGGUAUAAUUCGUGUGUUGUUGUGUUGUUUUAGUCUGUAUACUUGGACAGUAUGUUCUACAACAAUAGGAGGAAUACGUCAAAGUGUUGAGCAAUUGAUUUGGUCAUCACUCACUGGUUGUCUUGGUCUUUUAGUGUAUUCUUGAGUUGUCUUGAUCUUUUAGUGUAUUCUUGGCCUGAGUAACCUGUGCAAACGGCAAAGAAGAGUAAAAUACUCCAUUUUUCUGGAUUGCUCGUAGCUUGACUUGACACAGUCAACUGCCACUCUUCUGGAGAAGAAACUAUGAUACACUUGGCUGCUAAUAGACACAGUCGUUAGCAAUUUGUAUUGUAACAACAGUCUCUUUCUCUCCUGCUUUGUCUGUGGCUAAUAGAUUGUUCAUCCUCCCUCUCACUCAUAUGUUUCAUGGGUCUCUUUUCUCCUACCAUGCCACAAGGCUAACAACUGUUAGAUCCUCUCACUCUCACCUGUCUUUAUCUGGUGUGGCCGUGCGAGUUUGAUGUAAUUAAGAGCAAAUUCCAUGUGCGAGAGUAGCGAAAAAUAAUGUCUUAGGUUGAUGAUGUAUUGUCUGUCUUACAGGCAAAGAAGAGGAGGGUUGUUAUUUAAGAGAAGAUAGGUUGGUUGGUGGUCCGCCUGUAAACUGGGAGGAGUAGUUAACGGGCAACUGAUGCAAGAUCAGAGGAACAGGAGUCUCAUUUAAUCGUCUGUGCUUUCACCUCAGCCAUGCCAUGCCAUGCCCCCUUCUCCCUCUCAUCUAGUAGAGGCACCAGCCUCAACCUUCCAAGCCAAGGAGACCAGACCAUUGCAUCUCACGUUACGGUUCUAAUGCGAGGAGAAACGGAAGGGGAGGGGUGGAGAGAGAUUAGAGGAGAGGAAAGAGGUGAGCAGAGGAAACGAUGAGUGCAACCCUUCUCUUGCCGACACCAUCAUCCCAUUCCUGAAAUGCCCCCCUGCAGCCCAGAGAGAGAGAGAGAGAGAGAGAGAGAGAGUUGGUAUUCUCUCCUGUUUCCAAUUGGCAUGGGACUCAUUGGGUUUUGUCCUGGUCAGACCUUCCACAUGGACGGUGUAACAGGGGAAGGAACCUCCCCCUUCCUCCUCCCCCCCCUGUUCUCUCUCUCUCUCUCUCUCUCUCUCUCUUCCUCUCCAUCCACCUUUAUUUCUCCAGUUUCACAAUAUGUCUCUGUUCCCAUCUGUUUUCUUUAUGACCUCUUCUUGGUGAAUAGGCCUGUUUCCGUUCUGGGUGUUGCCUUGUAACCCACCCACUUUUCUUUAUCUCCUCCCCCUUUCUCUUCUUUCCUAUUUGUUUUCAUCUGUCGAUGGAGGUGAGAAUGAUGAAGAAGACGAGAAAGGUUCGCAAGGAACCAUCGCCAUCUGCUACUUGUUCCCCCUUCAGGGAUGAUGUCAGGCAAAGAUUCAAAUACCGAUCCCUCCUGCAAGAUCAUAUGGAGUUGCUCGAGGAAACUGAAGCAAAGAAGAAGAAACUGCAGGAGACAAGACAAAAAAAACUGCAGCUCUUGACUGAAGUCAGGUUCUUGCGAAGAAAACAAGAGUCAUUAUCAGAAUAUCCAUCUCAGGAAAUCCCAUUUAGAAUAAAGAAGCAAUCUCGUCCAACGGCAUCCCCAUCAGUUUGUAUUUCGCAAUCAGUGAAUUUGCCUCUUCCAAAUGGAGUAUCUACCAGAGGAAAGAAAUACAAAGUAUUGGAAGCAGCAAAUGCAAGUAAUUCUCUGAUAGAGUCUUUGUCAGUAAAUCCAUCUCAGUAUCAAUUUAAGAAGCAGUCUCACAAAACCCACCCUCAUCCCUCUGCUUCGCACAAUCGUCGUAUAUGUUCAUCUCAGGGAAAGUGUCUACUCAAGAUAAGAGCUACCGAGUAAAGGAAGCUGCAAAUACAAGCAAUUGCGCUUCUCCACUGAUAAAUCUGAAUCAGAAACAGAGAAGUUUCAGUUGGAGAAAGAUUUCCUGAAAAUGGUGAAAUUGUAUAGACAUUAAAUGAAUGAAGGAGGCAAAAUGAUAUUGAGUUAGCAAUUUGUAGACAUCGGGAGGAACUCAAACAGGGUUGGUCAGGGCAAAAUUUUAUAGCAAGAUCGUGUAGCUUUGAAGUCUUAUCCAUUUUCAUGGGUGAGAAAGGUGGUGAAGGAUGCACUGUCAUAGGACUUACCUAUCGACAAGCAGCGGUCGUGUAUAUUUGCUUCUAAAUGUAAGAUGCUGGAGCCAAGACAGGUUGAUAAGAUGCUUCUCUCAGUUCAGUAGAUAACAAUCUGAUCACAGAUGCCGUAUGGGGGACGGGAACUUUUGACAUGAGGAAUGCACCUUCUGGUUUACUGUUAUUUCCUGGUCAUCUUUCUUCAAGAUGCUUGAAGAAAUCCAUAUAAAGAAUUGGUCCUCUCUUGGUGUGAUGGAAAUCGAGGAUUUGUCGUGUUCAAUACCAAGUUGUGCCGCUCUUCAUAUUCUACUAAAAUGUAUCAGAGAAGAAGAUGGACGGGUCCAAAUUGAUGAAAUAACUGAUUCAUUAACUUUAUAAAGCUAAUCUAACCUUAUAAAUCAAAUUCGAAUUGAAUUGGACAAGUUUUUCAUGGGCUCUGAACUUUGCAAUUACAUUGUAACUUGUCAUUUUUCUCAUGACUUGUGCUACAGAUAGUUGGGUUUUCCCAGGAAUCAUAUUUAGAUUAAUCUCUUA